AGCACGGUAGCCGAGUGGGCAAUACGCUCUAUUUACUGGUUACCGAAGGUCGAUGGUUCGAUUCCAUCCCGGAGCAAGUUA